rnacentral:rRNA from 1 species
UACGGGGGGGGCAAGCGUUGUUCGGAAUUACUGGGCGUAAAGGGCUCGUAGGCGGCCAACUAAGUCAGACGUGAAAUCCCUCGGCUUAACCGGGGAACUGCGUCUGAUACUGGAUGGCUUGAGUUCGGGAGAGGGAUGUGGAAUUCCAGGUGUAGCGGUGAAAUGCGUAGAUAUCUGGAGGAACACCGGUGGCGAAGGCGGCAUCCUGGACCAACACUGACGCUGAUGAGCGAAAGCCAGGGGAGCAAAGCGGG